rnacentral:rRNA from 1 species
GGGUCAGUAGGUUGGUCGUGCCACCGGUACGUACUGGUCUCACUGAUUCCUCCUUCCUGAAGAACCGUAAUGCCAUUAAUUUGGUGUUGCGGGGAAACAGGACUGUUACUUUGAAAAGAUUAGAGUGUUUAAAGCAAGCUAACGCUUGAAUACAUUAGCAUGGAACAAUGAAAUAGGACGAUCGAUCCUAUUUUGUUGGUUUCUAGGAUUGACGUA